UACGGAGGGUGCAAGCGUUAUCCGGAUUUACUGGGUUUAAAGGGUGCGUAGGUGGGCAGGUAAGUCAGUGGUGAAAUCUCCGAGCUUAACUCGGAAACUGCCAUUGAUACUAUCUGUCUUGAAUAUCCUGGAGGUGAGCGGAAUAUGUCAUGUAGCGGUGAAAUGCUUAGAUAUGACAUAGAACACCAAUUGCGAAGGCAGCUCACUACGGGAUAAUUGACGCUGAGGCACGAAAGCGUGGGGAUCAAACAGG
rnacentral:rRNA from 1 species